AGCUUCCCAUACGGGUUGAAGCAUGACCGUAAGGACAUGUGGACAGUAUGGGAGUGAGAAUGUUGGCAUGAGUAGCGAGAUGUGGGUGAGAAUCCCACAGGCCGUAAACCCAAGGUUUCCAGGGGAAGGUUCGUCCGCCCUGGGUUAGUCGGGACCUAAGCUGAGGCCGAAAGGCGUAGGUGAUGGACAACAGGUUGAUAUUCCUGUACUACCGAUAACCGUUUGAGAGAAGGGAUGACACAGUAGGAUAAGCUAAGCACACUGUUGGUUAUGUGUGCCCAAGCAUUGAGGCAGUCAAAGUAGGCAAAUCCGCUUUGAUAAUGCUGGGAUGUGAUGGGGAGCGAAAUUUAGUAGCGAAGUAGCUGAUUUCACACUGUCAAGAAAAGUCUCUAUCGAGGUUAAAGGUACCCGUACCGCAAACCGACACAGGUGGGUGAGGAGAGUAUCCUAAGGCCAGCGAGAGAACUGUUGUUAAGGAACUCGGCAAAAUGACCCCGUAACUUAGGGAUAAGGGGUGCCACCAUCAGGUGGCCGCAGAGAAUAGGCCCAAGCGACUGUUUACCAAAAACAUAGGUUUCUGCUAAGUCGCAAGACGAUGUAUAGGAGCUGACGCCUGCCCGGUGCUGGAAGGUUAAGGGGAUCUGUUAGAGCAAUCGAAGCAGUGAACUUAAGCCCCAGUAAACGGCGGCCGUAACUAUAACGGUCCUAAGGUAGCGAAAUUCCUUGUCGGGUAAGUUCCGACCCGCACGAAAGGCGUAACGAUUUGGGCACUGUCUCAACAACAGACUCGGUGAAAUUGUAAUUCCGGUGAAGAUGCCGGAUACCUGCGACAGGACGGAAAGACCCCAUGGAGCUUUACUGUAGCUUGACAUUGGGUCUUGGUACUACAUGUACAGGAUAGGUGGGAGGCUUUGAAACCAGGACGCCAGUUUUGGCGGAGCCAUCCUUGGGAUACCACCCUUGUAGUACUGGGACUCUAACCAUAGGCCAUGAAUCUGGUCUUGGGACACUGUCAGGUGGGCAGUUUGACUGGGGCGGUCGCCUCCCAAAAGGUAACGGAGGCGCUCAAAGGUUCUCUCAGUACGGUCGGAAAUCGUACGUAGAGUGUAAAGGCAAAAGAGAGCUUGAUUGCAAGACAUACAGGUCGAGCAAGGAUGAAAAUCGGACUUAGUGAUCCGGUGGUUCUGCGUGGAAGGGCCAUCGCUCAACGGAUAAAAGCUACCCUGGGGAUAACAGGCUUAUCUCCCCCAAGAGUCCACAUCGACGGGGAGGUUUGGCACCUCGAUGUCGGCUCAUCACAUCCUGGGGCUGUAGUAGGUCCCAAGGGUUGGGCUGUUCGCCCAUUAAAGUGGUACGCGAGCUGGGUUCAGAACGUCGUGAGACAGUUCGGUCCCUAUCCGUCGCAGGCGUAGGAAAUUUGAGAAGACCUGUCCUUAGUACGAGAGGACCGGGAUGGACGUACCUCUGGUGUACCAGUUGUCCUGCCAAGGGCAUGGCUGGGUAGCUAUGUACGGAAUGGAUAAGCGCUGAAAGCAUCUAAGCGCGAAGCCAACUUCAAGAUAAGAUUUCCCACCGCAAGGGUAAGACCCCAGAAAGACUAUCUGGUUGA
rnacentral:rRNA from 1 species